GUCUUCAUAGUCAGGUCACAUCCUGUGCUGGUGUCAGCCUCACACAGGUCACAAAACAGACAUGAGGGGCCCCACUCAGCUCCUGGGGUUGCUGCUGCUCUGGCUUACAGGUGUCAGAUGUGACAUCCAGAUGACCCAGGCUCCAGCCUUUCUAUCUGCAUCUCUGGGGGACAGUGUCACCAUCACAUGCUUGGCAAGUCAGGACAUUGGUUGGGGUUUAGCAUGGCAUCAGCAGAAACCAGGGAAACCUCCUAAGCUCCUGAUCUAUGCUGGAGAUACUUUGGCAGAUGGGGUCCCAUCGAGGUUCAGUGGCAGUAGAUCUGGCACACAGUUUUCUCUCAAGAUCAGUAGUCUACAGCCUGAAGAUGUGGCAGAUUAUUUCUGUCUGCAGGAUUACAGUACCCCUCCCACAGUGAUACAAGCCAUAACAUAA